rnacentral:rRNA from 1 species
AUUGGACGCUGGCGGCAUGCCUUACACAUGCAAGUCGAACGGCAGCACGGGAGCAAUCCUGGUGGCGAGUGGCGAACGGGUGAGUAAUUCAUCGGAACGUACCCAGUAAUGGGGGAUAACUAUCCGAAAGGAUAGCUAAUACCGCAUACGCCCUACGGGGGAAAGAGGGGGAUCGCAAGACCUCUUGUUAUUGGAGCGGCCGAUGGCUGGUUAGCUAGUUGGUGGGGUAAAGGCCUACCAAGGCAACGAUCAGUAGCGGGUGUUAGAGGACGGUCCGCCACACAGGAACUGAGACACGGUCCGGACUCCGCCGGGAGGCAGCAGUGGGGAAUCUUGUACAAUGGGCGCGAGCCUGAUCCAACAGUGCCGCGUGCGUGAAGAAGGCCUUCGGGUUGUAAAGCGCUUUUGUCAGGGAGCAAAUCCUUGUGGCUAAUACCCACCGGGGAUGAGAGUACCUGAAGAAUAAGGACCGGCUAACUACGUGCCAGCCGCCGCAGUAA